rnacentral:rRNA from 1 species
AGAGGGGGCAAGCGUUGUUCGGAAUUACUGGGCGUAAAGGGCGCGUAGGCGGCCUUCUAAGUCGAACGUGAAAUCCCCGGGCUCAACCCGGGAACUGCGUCCGAUACUGGAAGGCUCGAAUCCGGGAGAGGGAUGCGGAAUUCCAGGUGUAGCGGUGAAAUGCGUAGAUAUCUGGAGGAACACCGGUGGCGAAGGCGGCAUCCUGGACCGGUAUUGACGCUGAGGCGCGAAAGCCAGGGGAGCAAACGGGAUUAGAUACCCCGGUAGUCCUGGCCCUAAACGAUGAAUGCUUGGUGUGGUGGGUAUCGAUCCCUACCGUGCCGAAGCUAACGCAUUAAGCAUUCCGCCUGGGGAGUACGGUCGCAAGGCUGAA